rnacentral:rRNA from 1 species
UACGUAGGUGGCAAGCGUUGUCCGGAUUCACUGGGUUUAAAGGGUGCGUAGGUGGGCAAGUAAGUCAGUGGUGAAAUCUCCGGGCUUAACCCGGAAACUGCCAUUGAUACUAUUUGUCUUGAAUACUGUGGAGGUCAGCGGAAUAUGUCAUGUAGCGGUGAAAUGCUUAGAUAUGACAUAGAACACCAAUUGCGAAGGCAGCUGGCUACACAAAUAUUGACACUGAGGCACGAAAGCGUGGGGAUCAAACAGG